rnacentral:pre_miRNA from 1 species
AGUGGGAUUGCUGGAUCAUGUGGUAGUUUCUAUUUUUAAUUUUUUGAGGAACUUCCAUACUAUUUCCCAUAAUGGGUGUACUAAUUUUUACUCCCAUCAACAGU